rnacentral:rRNA from 1 species
UACGUAGGGGGCAAGCGUUGUCCGGAUUUAUUGGGCGUAAAGAGCGUGUAGGCGGUCUGGUAGGUCCGUUGUGAAAACUCGAGGCUCAACCUCGAGACGCCGAUGGAAACCAUCAGACUAGAGUCCGGAAGAGGAGAGUGGAAUUCCUGGUGUAGCGGUGAAAUGCGCAGAUAUCAGGAAGAACACCCCGUGGCUAAGGCGGCUCUCUAGUACGGUACUGACGCUGAGACGCGAAAAGCGUGGGGGAGCGAACAGG